CGAAAACGUAAUACCCGUCCGAGAAACAGAAAAGAAAAAAAAAAUUAUAAGUAAAAAUAAAUAUCUCGCUUUAUCCGUCACAAUUUGUCUUUUAUCUGCUCUUCUUCUUCGUCUUCUUGUUCUUCUUCUUUUGUGUGUUUAUGUGUGAUAUUCUUGGCAUUGAUGAAGAUUUGUCGUUGCUGCGAAACUUGAGGGGAAUCUGAUGUUUUGAUCCAAUCCACUAGGUAAAACUGGAGAGGGUCACAGUUUUUGAUUGAUUUGCUUUUUGUUGGGAAUCUUGAGAAGUAAAGCUGGCGGCUACACUG
rnacentral:misc_RNA from 1 species